rnacentral:misc_RNA from 1 species
UCCUCAUUAAAAUGAGGCAGUCUGUCCAGAGUGCUUCGAACUCUCGUUCGAGUGGCAACAGGACACAGGGGUUGCGCUCGUUGCGGGACUUAACCCAACAUCUCACGACACGAACUGACGACAGCCAUGCAGCACCUGUGCACACUGGUAUUGCUACCUCGUUACCCUUUCAGGCUUCUACUAUGUGCAUGUCAAGGCCAGGUAAGGUUCUGCGCGUUGCUUCGAAUUGAACCACAUGCUCCACCGCUUGUGUGAGCCCCCGUCAAUUCCUUUGAGUUUUAAUCUUGCGACCGUACUCCCCAGGCGGACCAUUUACCGCGUGUGCUUCACUACUCACAACUUGCGUCGCGAUCAGUCAAUGGUCAUCGUUUACGGCAUGGACUAC